AUUUAUAACUCUGAGUCUGAACACUGAGAAUCUGAACCAACAGCAACCAUGAGCUUCAUCUUCAUCAUCUUCAUCUGGAUGUUCUCCAGCUGUUUCACAGAAUCAGUUGGUGAAGUGACAGUCACUCAGACGCCUGCAGUGAAACCUGUUCCUCUCAGAGACACAGUUACUAUAUCCUGUAAAACCAGUCCUGAAGUCUAUCAGGGUUGGGGUGUUCAGCCUCUAUCCUGGUACUUACAGAAACCUGGAGAAGCUCCUAAACUCCUGAUUUAUUACGCAAACCGCCUCCAGUCAGGAACUCCAUCUAGAUUCAGUGGCAGUGGAUCUAACAGUGAUUUCACUCUGACCAUCAGUGGAGUCCAGACUGAAGAUGCUGGACAUUAUUACUGUAUGAGUGUACACUGUCCUAGUAGCUGUGUGUUCACACAGUGAUAAAGAGUCGUACAAAAACCUCCGUCAGUCAGAGUCACAGUGACUGAACUGAAACUGCAGCUGCUCAAAGGAGGAUCUGAAAUAACAUCGUCACACUUGCAUUUGAAAUAAAACCAUAUAAAUUAAUCUGACACUCUUAAUAAUUAUAGAGUUCAGAAAGAGAUUUUGUGCUCUUAUAGAUCAGUGACACAUUUGAGAUCUGA